GCGGUAUUGGUAUAGUGGCUGUGCCCCAGACUUCCAAUCUGGAGACGCGAGUUCGAUCCUCGCAUACCGCUC
rnacentral:tRNA from 1 species